rnacentral:tRNA from 1 species
CAAAAAGUAGCUUAAUAAAAGCACUCGACUUACAAUCGAACGAUAUUAUAAAAAUCUUUUUGA